rnacentral:rRNA from 1 species
AUGAGAGUCGUGUCCGCCAGAGCUGAGCAAUAUCACAGGAAUUUGGGAGGAAACAGUUCAAUCUUUGCUUGUAGUGAAUUGCAUGGAGGAGAUGACGCUUGCGACCUAAUGGUGUUAAUAUUUCCAUAUAUACCAAGGGAAGUUGAAUCCUCUCAAAGACAAACGAGCAAGCACCACCUUUUCUACCAGACCGUGCUUGCAAUGGAAAUUCCAGGGGCAUCAUCUAGGCGCUCGGUGGCCAUGUCAUCAGCCUCGCUGCUAAAGCUAUUCAGGGGCGUAGCAAAGUCGCCAAAAGGGUGCCGCUACAACCCAGAGAGUACCGGCAUCGGGAUUGUCUCGGCUAUUAUGGAACCAACCGCUGCACGCCUACGCAUUGUCGGGCCUCAUAUCCACGCCAACGCGCGUGAGAUCCUAGAGGUUACACUACCAAACCUCUGUUGGAGCAGUAGGCGGCCAUUCCGAGCAUCCAUACUGUCGUGCGGUCUGUGCCGCAGCUGGAUUGGUAGUGGCAUCGUCUACAUGUACAAAUGUGAGACUGGAUUUUGUACCGAAGAAUGUCUCGGCGAUUAUAUCAUGGAGCAAUUGGAAAAACAGACACAAAGGGUGAGGUGGUGUGGAAGAAAAAAGGUGCCACCAAUGGAGGACAAGGAAUGCGAUCAAAGCUGCAUUUUCUUCACCUGCGCUGGCAGCCUGUGA